rnacentral:rRNA from 1 species
GUGUCAGCCGCCGCGGUAAUACCUGCAGCUCAAGUGGUGGCCGCUAUUAUUGGGCCUAAAACGUCCGUAGCCGGUUCUAUAAAUGCCUGGGUAAAUCGUACGGCUUAACCGUACGAAUUCCGGGUAGACUGUUCAACUUGGGACCGGGAGAGGCUAGAGGUACUCCUGGGGUAGAGGUGAAAUUCUGUAAUCCUAGGGGGACAACCAGUGGCGAAGGCGUCUAGCUAGAACGGGUCUGACGGUGAGGGACGAAGCCCUGGGGAGCAAACGGGAUUAGAUACCCCGGUAGUCCAGGGGGUAAACGCUGCUCGCUUGAUGUUAGUCGGGCUCCGAGCCCAACUAGUGUCGGAGAGAAGUUGUUAAGCGAGCUGCCUGGGGAGUACGGUCGCAAGACUGAAACUUAAAUGAAUUGACGGGG